rnacentral:rRNA from 1 species
UACGUAGGGUGCAAGCGUUAAUCGGAAUUACUGGGCGUAAAGCGUGCGCAGGCGGUUAUGCAAGCCAGAUGUGAAAGCCCCGGGCUUAACCUGGGAAUGGCAUUUGGGACUGCAAGGCUUGAGUGCGGCAGAGGAGACUGGAAUUCCUGGUGUAGCAGUGAAAUGCGUAGAUAUCAGGAGGAAUACCGAUGGCGAAGGCAGGUCUCUGGGCUGACACUGACGCUCAUGCACGAAAGCGUGGGGAGCAAACAGG